rnacentral:lncRNA from 1 species
CGCGCACGUGCAUGUAUGUAUGUGCGCAUGCAUGUGUGUGUGUAUGUAUGUGCAUGUGUGCGCAUGCGUGUGUAUGUGCGUGUGUGUGCGCGCGUGCGUGUGUGUGUGUGUGUGUUGAUUAAAGCCUCCUUUGGUGUUAGUAACAAAUGUAACCUCUUUACUACACCAGUACAUUUCAUUUACACCAUCUUUACAUAAACUGCAAUAUCAUCAUUUAUAAGGUUUGAGUUGGACCCUAAAAUCAACCAGGAAACCUUCACACAGAUUAAGUCUAGUCCUGGACUUAAAAGCAUACUCAAUGGAGAAUCCAUAUUGAAAUAGCUUCUUAGUCCAGCACUAUGUUUCAGUUGUGUCCAGGAAGUUGGUGUAGAGCCUACUACACAGAGGUUCAACUUUAAGCUCUCCAGUGAGAAUCAACAGGGACACAUCGAGUUUUGACACCAAAGAUAAUUUUUAAUUGUAUUUAUUUUCUCUCUGAAUUGCCCCACCAGCUACGGGGCGUCAGGGUGGACAGACAGACAUGCCAGUUGGUAGGAGAUAGUGUCUAGAUACCACAGGGCGGCAGGGUGGACAGACAGACAGGCCAGUUGGUAGGAGAUAGUGUCUAGAUACCACAGGGCGGCAGGGUGGACAGACAGACAGGCCAGUUGGUAGGAGAUAGUGUCUAGAUACCACAGGGCGGCAGGGUGGACAGACAGACAGGCCAGUUGGUAGGAGAUAGUGUCUAGAUACCACAGGGCGGCAGGGUGGACAGACAGACAUGCCAGUUGGUAGGAGAUAGUGUCUAGAUACCACAGGGCGGCAGGGUGGACAGACAGACAUGCCAGUUGUAAGGAGAUAGUGUCUAGAUACCACAGGGCGGCAGGGUGGACAGACAGACAUGCCAGUUGGUAGGAGAUAGUGUCUAGAUACCACAGGGCGGCAGGGUGGACAGACAGACAUGCCAGUUGUAAGGAGAUAGUGUCUAGAUACCACAGGGCGGCAGGGUGGACAGACAGACAUGCCAGUUGGUAGGAGAUAGUGUCUAGAUACCACAGGGCGGCAGGGCGGACAGACAGACAUGCCAGUUGGUAGGAGAUAGUGUCUAGAUACCACAGGGUGGCAGGGUGGCAGGGUGGACAGACAGACAUGCCAGUUGGUAGGAGAUAGUGUCUAGAUACCACAGGGCGGCAGGGCGGACAGACAGACAUGCCAGUUGGUAGGAGAUAGUGUCUAGAUACCACAGGGUGGCAGGGCGGACAGACAGACAGGCCAGUUGGUAGGAGAUAGUGUCUAGAUACCACAGGGUGGCAGGGUGGACAGACAGACAGGCCAGUUGGUAGGAGAUAGUGUCUAGAUACCACAGGGUGGCAGGGUGGACAGACAGACAGGCCAGUUGGUAGGAGAUAGUGUCUAGAUACCACAGGGAGGCAGGGUGGACAGACAGACAUGCCAGUUGGUAGGAGAUAGUGUCUAGAUACCACAGGGCGGCAGGGUGGACAGACAGACAUGCCAGUUGGUAGGAGAUAGUGUCUAGAUACCACAGGGCGGCAGGGUGGACAGACAGACAUGCCAGUUUGUAGGAGAUAGUGUCUAGAUACCACGGGCGGCAGGGUGGACAGACAGACAUGCCAGUUGGUAGGAGAUAGUGUCUAGAUACCACAGGGUGGACAGACAGACAUGCCAGUUGGUAGGAGAUAGAUAGACAGUGCCUAGAUACCUUCUCUAAAGCCAGCAACACAUUUAGAAUGAGUCCCAAAUGGCACCCUAUUCUCAUAGGGCCCUGGUCAAAAGUAGUGCACUAUAAACUGAAUAGGCUGCCAUUUGGGAUGCAUCAUUCGCCUUUUAAAAGAUUAUGUCAAAUCUGAGGUGUGUCAGUUUGGGAUUUAUCUCACCACUUGAGGUUUGAAAACGUCUGACAAUCGUAGAUGUUUGGGAAGCACUACUUUGAGACAUGGGUGUUAUUAACAUUUUAUACCGUUUUAAAGUUGAAAUGUACCUGCAGGAAAUCAACUGUAUAUGUUUUUGAUAUAUGAGAAAGGAACUUAAACUCAAUAGGACUUUUCUAUUGAGAGAAUGAGUCAAUGAUAGAUUAUUAUUAUUAUUAGUAGCUUAUCAGCAUUGUGUACUCUCACUGAGGACCUAUAAGAAGCAGUUUCACCUUUGUCCCGCCCCCUUCUCACCUGUCACAGACCUUUUCUCGUAUGAUUGACACUGCAGCUAUCCACUCCCAGCACUCUAUCCACAAUGUUAAAGCCCAACACUAAUUAUAAGAGGACUGGGGUCCGUUCAAGAGGGGGCGAUGUUCUGACAAAAUGUUUGUGAUUAGAAAUGAGAUGAGUGGACAUGAUUCUGUCCCAGAGGCCAGUCUAUUCUACACAAGGUAGAAGCAUUCACUAGGCAGCGAAUGGAAGAACAACUGACUGCAACGGAAAGAGACUACCUGGACUCCAAUAAGAAACACUCAUUAUCAUUUUUUCCAUAUUAAAAACGUUUUCAGUUGCAUGACCUAAUGAAUACAACCCUGUCAGCUAACGUGUCAGUUUGUUCCAUAGAAAUAUAAUGUUUAGAAUCCAUAGAAAUAUAAUGGUGCAUUGUCAUGUCAAUUUCAAUGCUCCUGUCAAACCUAGAUGGUUGAAUGAAUGUGUUGUUCCAUACCAUGUUACUUAACAGAAGUCAUCUUGCUGUAGAAUAUCGUUUGGCCCAUCUGUUGUUGUCUGAAAGCUUCCAUGUUGCUGUAGAAUGUCAUUUGACCCAUCUGUUGUUGUCUGAAAGCUUCCAUGUUGCUGUAGAAUGUCAUUUGACCCAUCUGUUGUUGUCUGAAAGCUUCUAAUGGGGAAGGUUGUUUGGUAACACAUUACGUAAAAGCCAACUGGUAUAAUGCCUUAUAACUUGUUAUAAGCAUGUAUGCACCUUUAUAGAAGUGUUACAGGCACUACAUGUUCAUUUACUUUCUAUGGAAUGACUGUCACUACUCCACUCCAGACAUAUAGUACUCCUUCAUCAUGGGUAACACCGACCAGUAUAAUGCCUUAAACUUGGUAGAAGCUUGUAUGAGCAUAUUAUAAAGUUAAUCAUCUGAUUCUAUGGGAUGUGUUGUCAGUCUGUGUGUAAUCUCGUUCCCAUACACUUCCGCCCAAAUGCCAAGAGUCUGGUGUACCAUCGCGUCAAACUUCGUUAGCCAAUACAGAAAGUCUGGGGACGAGCAUUCAAAAAGUGUUUCUCCAUCAUUAAUGUAACAUGGGCAGAACCAGCCUGUCC